rnacentral:rRNA from 1 species
GCUCUUCCGGAGUCCGAGUUGUAAUUUGUAGAAGAUGCUUUGGGUUGUGGGUUCGGCCUAAGUUCCUUGGAACAGGACGUCAUAGAGGGUGAGAAUCCCGUAUGUGGCCGAGGCCCGCGCCUAUGUAAAGCUCUUUCAACGAGUCGAGUUGUUUGGGAAUGCAGCUCAAAAUGGGUGGUAAAUUUCAUCUAAAGCUAAAUAUGGGCCAGAGACCGAUAGCGCACAAGUAGAGUGAUCGAAAGAUGAAAAGCACUUUGGAAAGAGAGUUAAACAGUACGUGAAAUUGUUGAAAGGGAAGCGCUUGCAACCAGACUUGGGCGCUGCCGAUCACCUUGAGUUUUCUCGAGUGCACUCGACAGCGCACAGGCCAGCAUCGGUUCGGGUGGCUGGAUAAAGGCCGUAGGAAUGUGGCUCUCUUCGGGGAGUGUUAUAGCCUACGGUGCCAUGCAGCCCAGCCGGACCGAGGACCGCGCCUUCGGGCUAGGAUGCUGGCGUAAUGGUUGUAAGCGACCCGUCUUGAAACACGGACCAAGGAGUCUAACAUCUAUGCGAGUGUUUGGGUGGUAAACCCAUACGCGGAAUGAAAGUGAACGUAGGUGAGAACCCCUUUGGGGCGCAUCAUCGACCGAUCCUGAUGUCUUCGGAUGGAUUUGAGUAAGAGCAUAGCUGU